CUGUACGUCUCUGACGCAUGUCUGUCAAAAUAUUAUUUUUUUUCCUUCAAAAUAAAAGACAAGUCCGACAUCAGAUGCGCAUUAAAUAUUAUUUAUUUAUUUAUGACCAGCUGUCUGCGACCCACCAGUUGAGAAUCACUGGUGUAAAAUAAUAUUUAUAUGAAAGUCAUAUUGUAAUUAUUUUAUGUAUGAGACCACAGCUGUAGGACAUGAACAAAAGUGUUUCGACCCAUAAAAAUGCUUCAUAAAUUUUAUUAAAUCACAUUAUUUAGUAAAUAUUUCACAUGUUAAGAUGUGUAAUAACACUGUGUAUAUAUUUAUUAAACGUCAUCUGACAAAUUUGAACAUAAAUCCAAAAAAUUUCCAGCGCUGGGACUUAAAACUGCUUGUAGUUGCAGAAACAUCUGGACACAGAAUGAAAAACACGUCACGACUCAAACUGCUGAACGUUUUAUCAGGUUUUAACAAAGUUUGAACGUUCAGCUUCAGCUCCAACCGGACGACUCCUAACACAGUUGUUCAUUUUUCUGCUCUGAUGAUUCGACCAGGACAGUUUCACGGUCAGCCAGCUGUCAGUCACUGACAUCGUCUAUGAGAACAUGAAGCCGACUUUUACUGCAGGAACUCUUCAAAGAAAAGCAGAAGAAAAGUGCAUCCAGCCAUCUCCUCUUGAAUCCUGCAGCUUAUAAGAGCACAUUGAUCUCCCAGCAGCCGUAAAUCACCGUCUGAUCCAAGAAUCUACCCGAGUAUAUGAGAACUUAUGAGGAUCUAUGAGAACGAGUCGUAUUUCAACCAUCUAACAGGAAAAAAUGCAAUAAAAAGCAGAGCGUGUGGCGGCAGAACCAACAUGAAGCUGCUGAUGUGAUGUUGUUGUUGGCUGGCAGGACAGAUGGAGAGAUAGAUGGAGAGUGAAAGAUGGAAAAAAGUGCCUCCUCCACUGCUGUUUAUGUUCCGCUGUUACAGAGAAGUUGACUCAACAGUUUGUGACUGUUGGAGAGUCAGACGGUUUCUCUCCUACUGUAUCAAUUAGUCAAAAUGCUUUUGUUUACAUGUGAUUAUGGACAGAUAAUGAGACGACAGGCUCCUAUGGACAGACAUACACCCCUCCGACAUAACAGCAAGACCCCCGACGGAAAACUUCUGUCCAUUUUGUGUUGUUUUCUGUCUCUUUUUAGUUGUUUUGAACCACUUUGUGAUCCUUUUAGGCUCUUUUUGUGUCUCUUUUUAUUCUCUUUAUGUCUGUGAUAGUAAGCAACGUGUGCAAAGUGAGGUUCAUGCAAAGUGUUGGAACAACUCAGUCUCCUAAAAAUGAUGUUUAUAUAAUCAUUUGUUUAGCCGAAUAAAUUCUGUAGAAAACCUCGUGUGUAGUUUUCCAUCAUUGAGCUGAGGAGGCUGCUGAUUGGUCCACGCACAGCACAAACCGAUGACGUGUUAAUCGCCACACACACCUUUGUUCUCUGAUUCCCUUCAUCCAGGUGAGCCUGAAUAAUUCCCACUGUAUGUAAAUCUGAAUGUAAAUCUCCUACCGACCCUCCCAGCCGGCUGGUUUCCACGGUAACGACCUUUUGCAGCGGUAUAAGCUGCUGCCGGAGGCGGACGGAUGCCAGCGCUGAUGAAGAAAGGCCUUUGUGUUUGUGUGUGUGUGUGUUUGAGUUCUAUAGAUCUAAUAUCACAAUGAGCUUAGUGCAGCUGAACCAGGCCGCAGGCUAACACAGCUACUAGCUAACAGCUGCUAACAAGCUACACUUGUUUAUGUUGUGCUCAGGAAAUAACAAGAUGGAACCCGACCAAACGAGUGAUCAGCAGCAUGUGAUCACACACACACACACACACACAUUGUAAAGUAAACAUAAAGACGCCUGCAAGGAUUAAAUGUUUCUUCAACUAAUCAGACUGAACAUUUAUCUUGAAUGUUUGUAAAAAUGUUCACUGUCAGCUGUUUCAGUGCAGCAGGAGUCGAUGAAGACUCACUGUGUUUCUCUUUCUGCUCAUUUUGAGUCUCUUUGACAUUGUUUUGUGCCUCCUAAAAAUGUUGUUAUACAUUAAAUGUUUAUGUACUUAUAAUUUUUUUUUAUAAUUUUAGCUUUCUUGUGUGUGCAGUGCAUGAAGGUAGUUAUCUCUCAGUUAGUGUCCAUUGAUUGUAGACUUCCCUGUGUAAUGUCACACAUGCUGUAAUGGACUGGACAGUAAAUAAUGAAUGAUCCUUUCACUGAAGUCCUCUAUGAAUACUUUCUGAUACAGACCGUCAGUUUGAUUUCUUGCCUCUGAUGUCAGUUUAUUUCUAAGGAAACUGUCCUGCAGAGCUCUGAGUCUGUUGGUCCGUCAAACGCUUUGGGCUACAAGAUAUUUUGACAGCUAUUGACUGGAUGUCCUCAUUCAUGUUCUCCAGAGUAUAAUCAUCAUGAUUCAUUAUUAGGGGCUACAGGGACCUUAAGAAAUCAGUUUGGUUCCACUGCUGUUAAGACUUUAAGAGGAGAUAAAUCAUCAGGAUGUCUCUGUAAUGAACUCUGCAGCCUCCAGAGGACUGUAGACUGUUAGUGUUAGUGAGAGUUAGUAACUUCCUGUCUGCUCUACUGAGCACACUUGGACAGUUUGGUUUGAAUGUUGUGGUUAAUAAACCGGUUUUAGGUUUCAGCUCUGGCAGAGUGAACGGAGUCCUGCAGAGACGCCGACAGACCGGACGGUUUCAGAGGAAGCUGGUUUCCAGUGAAGAACCGGGAGGAGCGGCAUGCGGAUGAUUCAGCCAAUAAUCCGCAGUGAGGUGAUGAAUCAUGAGACACAGUUGAUGGAGAAGAAAAGAAGUGUGAAAACAUCAAAACUCCUGCAACACUUCUGGUAUAAAGAACUUUAUGAUGAGACCAACGUGUUUCAUCUUGUAGCCUUCAGCGUGGUCGUGAGUGGGUCUGAUGAGUGUUGCUUAUCUUCCAACUUCUGUCUGUUCAUCAGUCAGUCAGCUCAGUGAAGACAAAUAAUGAAUCAUUUCUAAAUAGCACUUAAGUAUUGAGUCAGUUGUGGUUAAAAUGGUAUUUGUAAGAUGAGAUGUAUUUUUGUAAAGGUGUAAAAAAAAAAAACCCCAUUUGAGCCACAAAUCAAACAUAUUACAAGAACUUCACUUGUUUAACUUUGCCCCAUUUUAUCCAAUUCAGGUGCUGAAAUCCUCGUACACACCUUCAUAACAUCCAGAAUCGAUGGUCUACCGAAGAACACAACAAAGGUCUCCGGUUGGUCCAAAAUGCAGCGGACAGUUCACAAGAUUCUAUACUUCACUGCUCAAUUCAACUAAAAACCUUUUGGUGUUAUAACCUUUGCUCUCCUUCUUUGGAAUAAACUACUGCUGCACAUUCAGGACAGAAGUGUGCACACAUGCAAAAACAGCUGAGUUAGCUGCUGCUAAGCUAACAAUCACAUUG